rnacentral:rRNA from 1 species
CCACAAUGGACGAAAGUCUGAUGGAGCGACGCCGCGUGCGGGAUGAAGGCCUUAUGGGUUGUAAACCGCUGUCAGGGGGGAAGAACAUCGGAAUGAACAAUACUCAUUCCGACUGACGUUACCCCCAGAGGAAGCUCCGGCCAACUCCGUGCCAGCAGCCGCGGUAAUACGGGGGGAGCAAGCGUUGUCCGGAAUUAUUGGGCGUAAAGGGCGUGUAGGCGGCGAGGUAAGUCGAAU